GGGGGGAAAUUAAUAAAAUAAAAAUAAUAAAAAAAUUUUUAAUAUUGGGGGGUAUUAAAGUAUAUUUUUUAAAAAAAAUAAAUUAUUUUAUAAUAAAUUAGUAUUGAAAAAGAAAUUUGAAAUAAGUGAAAAUGAAUUAAUAAAAAAGUAGUUUUAAUUUGGUGUAUCUUGGGUAUCAGAGUUUAUUAAAAAAUAUUUUUUUUUAAAAAAAAUCUCGAAUUUAAAGGAGUUAAUUAAUUAAAAAAGUUAAUGUGGGAAAAUUAUUUUAAAUAAUUAAUUUGAAAUGAAAUGUUAAUCGUUUUUAAAUAUAUCUAGUUAUUUUAGAAAAAAAUUUAAUUUAAAAUUUAAAAAAUUUUAUUUUUAAUUUGUUUAAAAUUAAAAUAUUUGAAAUUAAAUAUGUAAAGGGAUAAGCUUUUAUAUAAAAAUUUAUAAUAAAUAAAAUUUAAAAUAAAAUUUUUAAAAUUUAUAUUGUUUAUAAAUUAUAAUUUAUUAUCAAUAAUUUUAUAAAUAAUAAAAUUUAAUAUAAAAUUUAAUUUUAUAAGAAAUAAUAAUUUUUAUAAAAAAAAAAUUAGUAAUAAUGAUAAAAUUAGUAUAAUGUAAUAAAAAAAAAUUUAAUUAUGUAUAAUUAAGUAAAAGGAAUUCGGCAAAAAUUUAUAUUCACUUGUUUAACAAAAACAUGUCUUUUAGUUAAUAAUUUAAAGUCUAAUCUGCCCACUGAUAAUUUAUUAAAGGGCUGCAGUAUAUUGACUGUACAAAGGUAGCAUAAUCAAUAGUCUUUUAAUUGAAGACUUGUAUGAAAGAUUUGAUGAAAUAUGAACUGUCUCUAAUUUAAUGGUAGAAUUUAAUUUUUUAGUUAAAAAGCUAAGAUAAAUUUAAAAGACGAGAAGACCCUAUAGAGUUUUAUAUUGAAAUUAUUUAAGAUUAUAUUUAUAAUUAAAAAUUAAAAGUAAUAUUUAUAUUUUGUUGGGGUGAUAGAGAAAUUAAAAUAACUUUUUUUAUUUAAUUAACAUAAAUAAGUGAUUAAGUUGAUCCAUUUAUUAUGAUUAAAAGAAAAAAUUACCUUAGGGAUAACAGCGUAAUAUUUUUUUUUAGUACAAAUAAAAAAAAAAGUUUGCGACCUCGAUGUUGGAUUAAGAUAAAAUUUAAAUGCAAAAGUUUAAAAUUUUGAUCUGUUCGAUCAUUAAAAUCUUACAUGAUCUGAGUUCAAACCGGUGUAAGCCAGGUUGGUUUCUAUCUUUAAAUUAAUAGAAUAUUUUAGUACGAAAGGAUCAAAUAUUUUUAAUAAUUAAAAUUUGAAGAAUAUUAGUAAUAUAAUAAUUAGUAAUUAAUUAU
rnacentral:rRNA from 1 species